AUGCUGAGCUUUGGGGAAAGGGCUUUAAAAAAUAAGGAGUGGAAAGGCGAGGACAGCUGUGUAUCAAUCAGGAAGACAAGAUGAUUUACUCCUACUUUUAAAACACUACUGAGCCUUAAUUUCUCGCGUUUCAACCCGCUCUGAAGGGAGGUUGGCCCUAUUGGAUUGGCUUGUCCCAGGCCACUAAUGGACCUGAUUGGGUUCCAGAGGGAACUUGAGGAGAAAGAACAUUAUGCGAAAUGCAGACAAAAGUGCAAGGAAUGCUUCUUGGAACCACCACAGUCUAUUCUAGACCUAGAAAAUCAUGAAGAAUGGGAAAUGCCAGUCCGGGAAGGGAAGAAAGAAUCACCAGAAUUCAGGAGAAUCCUCCUGCCUAGGAGAGAAAUAUUCCCUUUGUGGAACACACUUUUGAAUCCAAUCUUUAAUGAACAAGUAUGUAAACAGUACCUGUCUGGUGAAUUGAAAUACUAAAUAAAGAAUUAUGUCUGUUUGUA